UUUUUUUUUUUUUUUUUAAUUUUUUUCAGUUUUUUCCCUCUCUUCUCCAGAGAGGGGCAGUUCUGAGGCACCAGUACCUGAGAACAAAGCUUACUCCUCAUAUGUUGCUGUCAUCACUGACCCUCUCCUAAUAGGUCAGGUUGAAUUUGAUAGAGGCAGGACCAAGGUCAGGCUCACUUGACUCUGGCUGUCUCUUCCACACACCAGAUACAAUGCUGCCACUUUGUGGUUCCUGCCUCUCUGUUCUGCUGCACACACUCACCCAGUGCUCUCAUCCUCUCAUGCCAGAGAGCAUCCCAGCUUUCUCUCCAGGGAGGACUAGUGACACUCCAACUCAGGCAUGCUAUCCAGCCCUACCUGCCUCCACAACAGGCUGAGGCCUAAAAAACCCCUUUUGUCAGUGGUCAUCUAUUGCAAGCCCCUUGUGCACUCCUAUAGCUUGUCUUGUGUGGCACCUAGUGCUUCCAACUAAGACCCUCUGAGUUGGAAGGGAGGGGGCAUAGGGAUGCCAAACUUCAUUUCUCACAUAGAUACCAUAUGUUUUACCCUCCUCUCCAGAUCCUUACAGAGGUGGCUGAUGAUUUUCAUGCAAGAAAAAUGUACUCAGGCCACUCUUUUUCUAAACAGCUUUUCUCUUGAUUGUAUGUCAGGAUCUUGAUCCUCUUUAUUUUUUUCCACCAGUGUUGUUUGUUUUUUUUUUUUAUUUCCUUCCUUCCUUUGACGAAAAGAAAAACACAUACACACAAAAACACAGCAGGACAGGAAAUGAAACCUUUGCACAAAGAUGACUUGGUAAGAUGCUGGGUUUUCACUCAUUUGUUUUGCACUGAUUAUUUUUUAUAGGGGAGAAAUGAAAGAGUGAGAACAAAAGUAUGUGACAGAGAGGGUAACUUAGCAGAGGAAAAAACAUCCUUUAAUUUAUUUGGAGAGCUCAGACAUUGGUUGUUGCUUUUUCCCUAUACACAUGAGAAAACCAAAAGAGCUUUAAACCCACCAGCAACACUCACAUGAAUGAAAUGCCAGGUGGAACUGCUCCCAUUUUCCUGGAUAUGAUAAGGAUAAUGGCUUCCUCCUGGCAAGAUUCUCCCCACAUCAUCCUGGUUAAGCAAGCCUUAGCUGUAAUGCAAUACCACUAGGCAUUCCAAGGCUCCUUUUAAUAUAAAUUAAUCCAUCGCUUUGUACCGAAAGGUUAUUUCAAAAUAAGGCCACAGCAGCUCCUUCAAAUCUUUCUUAAUCUUUCACGAGGAUAUGAACAUUACAGCCAGGAAGCACUGGAUGUCUCUGGCUCCCUUCUCAUCCUCAGUGCUCCCCAGACAGCAUGGUUUGCCUCCUCAGAGAGGAUCUGCCCCUUGGAGACACUGAAAUCCAAAGAGUUUAGGAAUUUGCACUUCAAAAAAGUGGAGGUAUAUCAAGGACAAUCAUUAUUUCUGAGAAAGAUGUGCCCCAGACAGGAAGAUUCCAGUAUUUGUCUGUGGACGUGUCUUACGCUUCCUGGAAACAUGUUCAAGUGCAGUAAGAAACAGCUGCGACAGUCCCAGCAAAUCCCAGCCUUCACCUGCAGGCUGGGAAUUUCCCUACACAUCCUACAAAGGGUGGAGCAGCCCAAAGGAGUGAGAACAGAGACGACUCUCCUGCCCCAUCCUUGGUGGCUACCCUCAAAGGUUACACCUGCAAACACUGCCACGUGCCCCAUUGUAUAUCUGCCACAAGGUUUAAACAGUUUCUUAUUUGCAUGCUCUACAAACCCAGAAAACACUGUGUUCUCUGUGGUAGUUUCAUUCUGUGUUUCUAUUGGCAUGAAGAACCAUGUACUGCCUGCUUUUACUGAAGGAGAGGGACAGCUUUAGGCUGCUGAGUGCUGUUAUUAGGGAAAAAACAAACCUGGUGAGGUGCAGUCAGAGGUGUCAUAGAAGGGUGGUUUAGUAACCAGAGCAGUGGAACUUGAUUCUCGUCCCAGGAGACAUGUUUAAAAUUGGGAUACUUAUAAAUCUGACCAAAGGGGAAUGUGUGUCUGUUCCAGGGCAGCAUUUAUGGGCAUGUUUUGCUGUUUCAGGACUUAAGUGCUUAUUUAUGUAUCCCUUCUCUGGGACAAAGUUCUGUGACUCAGUUUCCUAGACUACAAAGUAAGCAAGGUAAUAAUCCCAUGUCUGGGAGGGCAGGAUGCAUAGCCUAGAUCACGCUUGUAAAAUAAUUGAGACGUUUUGAGGAAGGGUCACUAGAAGAACCUAAUAAUUGAUAAGGCCACAGGAGAUCAAUGCACAGCUGUUUGUUGAUAAUUUUUAAAGCACAAGAGAACAUUAGCAAAUAGACUAUAACAAUAAGGUCCUUAGCUUGUUUUUUUUUCUCUCAAUUUAAUUCUCAGUAUGUAUUGGGCAUUUGGGUUGGGGGUUUCUUUAGCAGUUAUGAUCAUAUUUACAUUAUAUUUUUUCAGCAACAGCUGAGAUCAAGAAUGCACUGAUCAAGAUGCUGUGCAAGCACUUACAGAGCUGCCAUAUUCCAAAUGGACACAAAAAAGAGCCCAUCCUGUAGGAGAAAAGAGGUACCAGAUUGUGAUCAACAUGUUGGGUUCCUAACUCAGAAUUCAUUGAGGUUAAGACUCAGUUCCUUAAAGGCACUUAGAACCCAACUCCCAUUGAAGUCAAUGGGUGUUAGAUACCUAAAUAAACACAGAUUAUACAAGUUCCAGUCUGAUUUCUUAAUGACAAAAUCAUCUUCCAUCUCCACAUUUUGUGCAAUAAAUCCCCAGCAUUUGCAUCACAACAUGGAUACGCAAUGUCCACCCCAUCAAAUAACUGGAAACCUGCAGUGACAAAAAUGGUUUUCCUCAAAACAAGCCCAGCUACAGAUACACACCAGCACAUUUCUUCUAUAUUUGAGGUUGGCUUCUGCUCUUUACACCAUAGAAGCUUCCAUGGUGUUUAGAGUUUCCUCCCUAGGUUUACACCCAGGUGACAGAGAGCAGAAUCCAACCCCAGCACUACAAGUACAAGCACUUUUCACCUGGCUCUAGGGUGGGGAUGGAUUAGGCAAACUGAACUUUCUGAAAAGAUCAAUAUGGAAUAUCUCUUUCAAUUACUCUCCAAGGCACUAAGCCUGUGAAGUCGGUUAUGAUGCAUUUAUAAAUCUUUCCAGGAAGGGCUGUCUGACAUUCUCCUCUUCCACCUUUACUCCCCACAUAUAAUUCCCUAUUGCCUGGGAUGGACUGUCAGGGCAGUGUUACUGAGGAAAGACCCAGCCUUGAGUUUCUCAGAACCAGGACAGAUGGGGACCAUUUUCAUCUCCUUUUCCCAGACACUAAAAUUCACAUAAUCAGAGAGGCAGCUACAGAACAACAGGAGGGGCCAGGACCAAAUAUUCCAAGAGCCACUGCAAAGUCACUGGGACCAGAAGAUGUUGCACAAGCUGAAUAUGUGUGUUACACUCCCCAAAAAGAUCACAGCCCUAAUGGACUGCUAGUUUGGAUGCAAUUAUAUAGGGGAAUGGGGUGGGGGAGCCCUUAUGCUGAUACAGCUCCUUUGAUUCACAGAACAGUUUUAAAGGCUACCCAAAAAACUAUGCUGAAGGCAUUGAUUUAAGUUCAUCUUCUACAAGCCUGCUGGCUCUGAUACUGCAGGGUUGAAGAGAGGAUUUGGAGCACACAGGGAGAGUUUUCUAGAGGACCAUGAGUCACUAAACUGUGGCUAUGCUUUUCUCUGCAUUUACCUGCCAGGAAGACAGGAAACCUGCCAGUUAAAAGAGCAUCAGGGUCACUGGAGAUGCAAUCUGCGUCCCUCAUUCUCCCACUCCAAAAACCCUUUCUUAAGAUCAGGCUGUCUGAAGUUUUAUUUUGUGCUCUGUCUUGGUGUCUGGUUAGGACCUUCUCUAGAGGCACUAGCUGAAAGGCAGUAAUAGGCUUGGGCAACCAGGGCUGUGAGUGUUUAAUUCAUGCAAUCUAUUUAGGCAUUGCAUCAACAAGGCUGCAGGAUUAAUGCAUAUUAGUUCUCAUCUUUCAAAUCUGACUGCAGACCAAGCCUAAAAACACCACUACUGGCCAGGCUGUCUCUACUCCUGUGCGGGUGUUUUUUACUCAGAGGGUGUGGUGAGACAUCUUUAGGGGGGCACCUGGGAUGAGUUUGUGUCUCCUCUUGGGGGGUAACAAAAUCCACAUGAUGGUGUAUCGACAGGAAAGAGAAGCAGGGCAGUUUAGACUUCUCUCUGCAUUAGAUGCACCUCCUGCUGCAGACGGCAUGCAGGGAUUGGCUUGACUCUGGGUAAGAGUUUGUCACCUCUGCUGGGGCUAAGAGCCCCGCUGCUGGGUGCUGCACAGAUGGGGGAUGAACAGAAUCUCCAGGGUGCUGUGAUGCCAGGCAGGACACAGGAGAUGGUGAAUGGAUACUGGCAGAAAGGGCAAGUGUGGGCUGGUACUGAGAUGUUUUUCAGCAAUGUGGCUGGCAGCCAUCUCACCUACCCAGAACUUCAGGCUCUCAGGCAAUACCCGGGGCUGAAAAGGGGCUUGAUAGCAGCUGAAGGGGUUUUGGUCUUGGCUUAUAAACCCAGCAAAUGUGACAGGCUUAUCUCCCACCAGGUCCCUUCUUGCCCUUCCAGCUCUUCUUUACCUCAGCUUGAGAAAUGCCAGGAGGGAAGUAUGUGCUUGGGUCUUGUUUGAUCUGCAGCAGUACUGGGCUGAUCCCUGGCCUGAAAGGGUCUGCUUUGCUGAUGUGUCUUCACAGAAUGGACACCUCUGCAGCCCUUCACUGCUGCCUUUAAGGAAUCAGGAGUUCCAGAGGUGGGCAGGGAAAAUGCAGGAGCUGGCUGUGUGUGAGAAAGGCUGCAGGUAUGGCUGGGGAAAGUGUUCUCCUCCAUUUCUUUCCUUUGAGGUGACCAAGCCCUCAGCAGCUGCAAGGGUCAAUCUUGAUUUGUAAUCCACUGAUGAGGGUGAGACUUGUGAGGGUAGCCAGAAGGGGCAUUUAGACACGAGGUGCAACAUCUUUUGCCCACCAAGCCUGUGAAAGCCACAGCAGUCCAGAAGAUACCCUCACUGCUGCCAGGUGAGAACAACACUGUGGGGCAGCAUCAGGGAAAGCGCUUCAGGAGCAUCUGCGGAUUACAGGAAGUAAAAAAAAACCUGUCCAUAACCUGAUCCCAACUGCAGGAUCAGGCUGCAGUGAGGUAGAGAAGGACCUGCCAUCCUCAGUGACAGCAUUCAGUGUAAGUGCCAGCCUUAUUUUAACCCAAUGGAUACUGUUAAUGAGAGGAUGUAAAGGCACCAAGGAAAAUUUACAUGCAGUGACUGCACAAGGAUUGAAUCUUUCGGAGUGAAAUUUCUAGUGUGAGACAGUCUUGGUAGAUGUUAUGAAGAAUUAAUAUUUAUAGACCAUCUUAGCUCUUAGCUGGGAAUUUCUACACAGAGGUACAUUUGCAUUCUUGGAGAAGAACUUUUUAUGAACUUUUUUUUUCUUUAUCACUAAAUAGAAAUAACUUGUUGAUAUACAGCAUAUAAUUUGAAUGGGUGAUUACUGUCACAUUUACAGAUAAUUGAGCAAAGUGCAUAUAAUAGAUGUAUUUUUACAUUGUAGUGGUUGCAUUAUCUAGAAAAACAGAGAAACGCACAUGACUACAUUAAAGAUUUAGGGCUCUAUUCUGCACCAUUUAAGUCAAUGGGAGUUCGUCACUGAUUUUAAUGAAAGUUAGGGGUUUAUAAGUCCAAGUAAUGCAGCUGGUAAGGAAUAAAUAUUGACAUAAUUGGGUCAAUAUAUUGGUGUCUUUUAAGUACUAAAACUGUACUUUGAGAUACCUAUUGCUUUUUUUUUUUUUUUUUUUUUUUUUUUUUUUUUUUGCAUAUUCAUUGUAGCUGCAGUGCAGCCAUCCUGCUGCUAAAAAGCAGGACAUGGUGGGUACCAGUAUUCAUUGUGUAGUAGUGACACCUUCAGGUUACUACCAAAACCAACCCCCUCUGUGCAAGGCACUGCACACACGUGUGGAGAAAGAAACUUUUAAUGAGAGAUUUGGUGGCUUGGCCAAGUACAUAGGGCACAUUAGUGAUAGAGAUUGCAGUGAAUGCCAGGGACUGCAGCUCCAGG
rnacentral:lncRNA from 1 species